CAGAGGGUGCAAGCGUUAAUCGGAAUUACUGGGCGUAAAGCGAGCGUAGGUGGCUUGAUAAGUCAGAUGUGAAAGCCCCGGGCUUAACCUGGGAACGGCAUCUGAUACUGUUAGGCUAGAGUAGGUGAGAGGAAGGUAGAAUUCCAGGUGUAGCGGUGAAAUGCGUAGAGAUCUGGAGGAAUACCGAUGGCGAAGGCAGCCUUCUGGCAUCAUACUGACACUGAGGUUCGAAAGCGUGGGUAGCAAACAGGAUU
rnacentral:rRNA from 1 species